UACGUAGGGUGCAAGCGUUAAUCGGAAUUACUGGGCGUAAAGCGUGCGCAGGCGGUUUUGUAAGUUUGUCGUGAAAUCCCCCGGGCUCAACCUGGGAAUGGCGAUGAAGACUGCAAGGCUAGAGUUUGGCAGAGGGGGGUAGAAUUCCACGUGUAGCAGUGAAAUGCGUAGAUAUGUGGAGGAACACCGAUGGCGAAGGCAGCCCCCCUGGGUCAAAAACUGACGCUCAUGCACGAAAGCGUGGGGAGCAAACAGG
rnacentral:rRNA from 1 species